rnacentral:rRNA from 1 species
AAAUUGAAGAGUUUGAUCAUGGCUCAGAUUGAACGCUGGCGGCAGGCCUAACACAUGCAAGUCGAACGGUAACAGGAAGCAGCUUGCUGCUUCGCUGACGAGUGGCGGACGGGUGAGUAAUGUCUGGGAAACUGCCUGAUGGAGGGGGAUAACUACUGGAAACGGUAGCUAAUACCGCAUAACGUCGCAAGACCAAAGAGGGGGACCUUCGGGCCUCUUGCCAUCAGAUGUGCCCAGAUGGGAUUAGCUUGUUGGUGGGGUAACGGCUCACCAAGGCGACGAUCCCUAGCUGGUCUGAGAGGAUGACCAGCCACACUGGAACUGAGACACGGUCCAG